rnacentral:rRNA from 1 species
UACGGAGGGUGCUAGCGUUGUUCGGAAUCACUGGGCGUAAAGGGCGCGUAGGUGGCGCGGAAAGUCAACGGUGAAAGCUUGGGGCUCAACCCCGAGUCGGCCGUCGAUACUUCUGGGCUUGAGCACUGUAGAGGCAGGUGGAAUUCCGGGUGUAGCGGUGGAAUGCGUAGAGAUCCGGAAGAACACCGGUGGCGAAGGCGGCCUGCUGGGCAGUAGCUGACACUGAUGCGCGACAGCGUGGGGAGCAAACAGG